UGCGUAGGUGGUUUGAUAAGUCAGUGGUGAAAUCUCGGGGCUCAACCCCGAAACUGCCAUUGAUACUGUUGGUCUUGAAUACGGUUGAAGUAGGCGGAAUGUAGCAUGUAGCGGUGAAAUGCAUAGAGAUGCUACAGAACACCGAUCGCGAAGGCAGCUUACUAAGCCGAUAUUGACGCUCAGGCACGAAAGCGUGGGGAGCGAACAGGAUUAGAUACCCUGGUAGUCC
rnacentral:rRNA from 1 species